GUUCAUUCAUUCCUAGAUAGUGGGGACCUGUUCUCUGCUGGAUGCUGGGGAGACUGCCAAACGAAACAGGCGAGCUUACAUUCUCGUGGCUUCUAAGGGGAGGGCCAGUCUGAAAGAAUGAGGGUUUUUGAGGAGUUUGGGGGCAAGUAAUAUCUUGCAGGGGUCUUGAGAGUCUCCCAGAGUCUAGGGGUCUUGGAGGUGCCUGACGGAUGUGCUGUGUCUAGGUAUGGGGGUGUGUCCAGAGAGGACAGGACCCUAAGAUUGGGCAUACCUGAGGUAUUGAGGAAUAGUUAUCGGAGGGGACGAGGUCUUUGAGAGAGGCGAUUGAUUUGAUCAAGUAUUUAUCGAACACCUUUUCCAGGCACAGAGCAUACAUUUCUGAACCAAACAGACUCCUUGCUCACACGGAACUUACAUUCUAGUGUUGGAGACAAACAUAAAUAAUAAAAUGUUAAGUAAUGCAAGCGCAGGAGAUAAAAAAGCAGGACAAGAAGGUCCAUAAAGGAUGGCGAAGUAGAGAGCUAUUUGAUAGGGUGGCCAGGGAAGGCUCUUGAGAGAAACGGUGGCUGGAACCAAAGGAGUCGAGUAGCUUUUUUAGUUUUUACUCUAAGUGUGCUGGGAAACCUGUCGGAGAGUUUUGAGUAGGAGUAACAUGAUAUGAUUUGUGUUUUAAAAAGAUCACUCGCUGUGCGGAGAGUAGGUUGAAGUGGGCAGAAGUGGAAAUAAGGAUUCCAGUUACGAGACUGCCAUGGUAAUUACUGCAGUAGUCCACUUGAGACAUCAGUAAUGGGGCUUGGGACUCUAAAGAAGGCGUCAGAUAUUUAUUCUGGAUAUAUUUUAAAGGGUGAGGGGACAGGUAUGAGAGGGAGACCUCCAGGAUGGCUGAGACUGGGCCUGAAGACAUAGGGGAGGUUGAUUUUAGGGACUGCCAUUUGAAGGAUUGGAGUGUUCGGAGGUCCUAAGUAUACUAGAAAGGUUGAUCUAAGGAGUUGUGGGCAGAAGGUAGUUUUCUUUGAGAUGGAGUGAGAUUGGUGAGGGUUGAACUGGAAUGUAGUAAGGGAACUGUUACAGGGAUAGGAAUGCUUUAUCAGAGGAGCGAUAGAGAAUGGAUGGGGGCUUCUGAGGAGGGGCAGAUCAAAGGCAGGGUUUGGAAUUCUUGGGAGGCUGGAGUUACUCUGAGAGUGGAGAUGUGAUGAACUCGGAGAACCUGGGAGGGAAGGAAGGGGUGAUCUGUAAUUUGGAAUCUGUAUUUGUAGAUAGUCUUACAGAGUUUUAGUGCUCUCGUGGCUGUUUUUCAACUGAGUCUCCCAGCAGCUCUCUGGGUAGGAAGGGCAGUGAUUCCCUCCCCUGUGUAGAGAGGAAGGGGGCUCUACAAAGCAGAUCGACUUGCCUCUAAGGGAACUUCAGGAGCGAUAGACCUCCGGGGGCUGGGGUUCCUUUGUGAAAUGGAAGGCGGCAGACUGCAUUCUGGCUACAGCUUUGCCUCUGAUGGUGAUGUUGGACCCAGGUUGUCUGAGAACUAGAAGGGAGAGUGAGUACCAUUAAAAUAGGCCUUCCUAGGGAACUCAUACAGUCUAGAGGUUAAAUACUGGGCUGUAUCUCUCAUACAGUGUUUUAAAUUAGUUGCCAGCAUUUACAGGUCUAGAGAAUUGGCCAAAUUUGGGACAAUUUGGGCAUCAGAAAGAAUAAAAUCAACUUUAAUAAUUUUUUUUUGUAACACCUACAGCACCUGGUAUUCCUAAGUGGUCUCCCAUCCGAGUACUAACCAGGACCAACCCUGCUUAUAUUUAAUAAUAUUUUGUAACUUAGAAUCCGUAAAGCCAAGCUAAUAUUCAAACGAGAAAUAACUUGUUUGUCUCUUUCGGAGGUUGAUUAUUAAUAAUGUGCCUUCUGAUGUGGUGAAAUGAGAACCUUAGUGCAUCAUCUUUGAAGUUUUCCUGUUGAAUAUCUUUGAAUCUUGUCAUGCUUUUAGAGAACAGAGGAACAAAUUAAAGGACACCAUUGGGGUAACGAUAAGACAGACAUCCAGAAUGUGGAGCUUUUUACACGACAGCUGCAUUGGUUCUAUUCCAAAAGUCAAUGUCAUGGAAAAAAAACAAGUGAAAGGACCGUCCUAGAUUUAGUAAAGAGGUGGGGACAAAUGCAAGUUUUCUCAUCAAGUGGAGGUAGUAAAAUCUACAAGAUUGUGGAGAACUAAACGAGACAAUAAUGCGAGACAAUAAUGUGUGUCCCUGCGUAAGCACAGAAAGGAUCCCGUAAAUUACAGCCGUAAUCACAGAAGAGGGGAAACUAAAAUGAAUUAAAUAAAUAAAAUGAAUUAGCAGUUGGAUGGAGCAGGAUUGUAGAUUUAAUUGAGAAGUACUGUACUGUUAAGUGAAGAAAGAAUAUUUCCAGAAGAAGAAAGUUGUCAGAUCUGCCAAAUGCCAAUGACCCCACCGAUUACUCCGCUGCACAGACAGGAAGCCUAGUUCUUGGUUCAUCCUGUCCCUUAUGCCCACCUUCAGUCUAUUGGGAAGUCCUGUCAGCUCUGCUUCGAACUUUCUCUCAUCUCCCUUUCUUCAUUCCUUAGUCCGAGACACACCCAUCAUUUCAGAUCACCUCAGCAGCCUCCUCACCCAUUCCCCCUGUUCCACUCGUGACUCUGUAAUCUGUUCUUCACACAGCAGCCAGCCAGAUUUAAAUUAAAAAAUCAGAUCACAGUGGUCUGGCUUACAGCCCUCCGGUGAUUUCCUGGUGUACUCAAUAAAAUCCAAAGCUGUUAAAAAUCCA